rfam:Gossypium raimondii chromosome 12, whole genome shotgun sequence.
AUUCCAUGAUGAGGGCACUUUUGUAAUAACUCUUUGUACCUUUCCCAUGCCUCAUACAGGGACUAAUUAUCCAUUUCUCUAGAAGGCAGUGAUCUCAGUCCUCAACUU